GUCAGGAUAGCCGAGUAGUCUAAGGCGCCAGCCUCAAGAACUGGGGGUGUGGGUUCGAAUCCCACUUCUGACA